rnacentral:rRNA from 1 species
AGUGAACGCUGGCGGUAUGCCUAACACAUGCAAGUCGAACGGCACGACAGUAAGAGCGUGCUCUUACGGGGGGCGAGUGGCGGACGGGUGAGGAAUACAUCGGAAUCUAGUUUUUGGUAUGGGAUAAGGUAGGGAAACUUACUCUAAGACCGCAUACGACCUACGGGUGAAAGCAUUGGAUCGUUUGACCGUGUGCGGUUGGAUGAGCCGAUGAUGGAUUAGCUAGUUGGCUGGGUAAAGGCCCACCAAGUCGACGAUCCGUAGCUGGUCUGGGAGGCUGAUAAGCCACACUGGAACUGAGACACGGUCCAGACUCCUACGAGAGGGCGCAGUGGGGAAUAUUGGACAAUGGGCGCAAGCAUGAUCCAACCAUCCCGAGUGGGUGACGACGGCGUUCGGGUUGUAAAGACGUUUUGUUGGGAAAGAACCGCAGCAGGUUAAUACCAAGCCUUUCUGACGGUAACCAAUGAAUAAGCACCGGCUAACUUCGUG